UUGAAGCUUCAGAGAAAAAUCAGUGAGGUUUUUGGAUAUUCCCAGUUUCCUCUGCAUAACGUCUUAGUUCAUCGCCUUUAGGCCAGAUUAAUCAAAGCGUUUAUGUCUUUUUUCUCAACUCCUCCCACUCUCUGACAUUCAAUCGUCACUACCAUCCUCUACUGUAACCGACUUGAGCUCCUCCUAUAAAUGGGUUCGUCGCCUUCGAUGUACAGUCCCACAACCACAAAAUCGCAAAGUUCACUCUCUGUCAAGCAUCAACCACAUCUAUGGCGAAUUCGUUUACCCCACUAUUCAAAAACCGCCGAGGUCCGUUUUCUCAAGUUUUGGGAGGUUAAGAAUGUGAAGAAAGGUGGCCAACUCAUGGGCGCCGAUCUCCUCCUGGUUGACGAGAAGUCAACUCCAGUGAAUGUGUGUGUUAGUCUGUUUGAUGGCUUAGCUUUCGCAUUUCAUAGCAAAUUGGACAGCUAAGGCUCUGAGCCAAAAGUUUUGGUGUUUACUAGCAUAAACCCUCAGCUUGUAGGAGGCCGGUUAUUCGUCAACGGGACAUCUGGAACCCAUCUCUACUUUGACACUGAGCAGCUACCGGAAUAGAAAACUAUGAAAAAUUGAUUGGGGAUGGCUCAGACCAGACACCCUCUUCAUCAAAGUUACCUCACGCCCAGAAAAUAGAACCACUCACCAUAUCUAAGCUAAACCAAUAUGUUAUCACAUCUGAGCCUCAGGUCAAAUUUACAACACUCUCAUGUUACUCUCGCAUUUGUCACUUCUAAUUGUAACUGUCUCUGACUUAUAAAAGAUUAUUGAGUUUUUGGUACUCAGACAGAUAAAGGAUGGUGUUAUAUUGGAUGCUCGAAAUGUUCAACAAAACUACAGCGAGAGAUUUCUUCUUUCACAUGCCUUUUCUGUGAUAAAACCAACGCUGUGGCGGCUGCCCUCAUGUACCGCGUGGAGCUGUCUGUAUCAGACCUGAAGGAUGAUGCUGUUUUUGUGGCCUUUGAUAUGGAAAUUGUAACGUUUACAAGCAUUCGAGCAUCUGAAGCUGCGCAGAUUUUGGGUACAAGUGUGAAUUAUCAUGUAUACAACGAGAUCCCCCAGUUUCUCUGAUACUGUGGGAAAAAAAUUACAUAUUCCAGCUCAAGUUAGGCAAGUUCAAUUUCACAUCUAAGCACCAGACCUUCACCAUACCCCGUAUCAUCACUGAGAAGCAGCGUCCACCACUCCCAGACUUUUUUAUACAUGGAGAUGGACAGGACCCUAAUGAUGAUGUGCCUGUGGAGAAACCGGUAGUAUCUAAUGGCUUCUGUUGGUUCUGUUAACACUUUGGUAGUGGUAGCAAGUGGUGUGGGAGCAGAAGGUGGUGAACCUACAAGUGCGAACCAUCAGCCAUCCUCAUCUGUUGUUGCAGGAUUAGUUUGCUCUGCAUCUACCAUUCCCAUACUGACCCAUACAAGAAUCGAAAAAAGAAGUCCUGCAUGGCAUAGCUACAGUUGUCGAAGCAAUAUCCCCACUUACUAUACUUACUAAGAAAAACACUAUUUUAUUUUUACAUUAAUGUCGUUGUGGCUGUUUGAACUAUUUCUGCAAGUUUUAUUAUAACAAGGCUUUGUUUUUAUUUUAACACAUUUGCACUUUUAUGAA